CCAGGAAGAUGACCUAUGAAUUGACAGACUGCUUUCUAAUUUUGCCUGUCAUUUCUAUAGGCCAAUAUUCUGC
rnacentral:pre_miRNA from 1 species